rnacentral:sRNA from 1 species
GGAAAAACCUGUGGUCCGCCCAGAAGAGAUUCCUCCAGUGCCUGAGAACCGAUUUUUACUAAGAAGAGAUAUGCCUGUUGUUACUGCAGAACCUGAACCGAAGAUUCCUGAUGUUGCACCCAUUGUAAGUGAUCAGAAACCAUCUGUAUCAAAGUCUGGACGGAAGAUUAAAGGAAGGGGCACAAUUGUAUGUGUGAUAAGACUUUUUUUGAAAUUAUGUAUCUAAUAAAAAAUUUUUACCUAUUGUCAAAGUCCUAGCUUUAAUUUUAAAUAUAAUACAAAAUCUGUUCAAGGAACUAAUUGUAUUAAGGUAUUGCUGUUAGAUCAAAGUAUACUGCUGUGUUUGAAUGGGUUUAAUUGAGUAUGAAAGGAGGAACAUGUGAAACCAUCCGUGAGUAUGCUGAGAAAUCAUUAAGACUUUAAAGAGGAAAAUUUUAUGUGGAUUACAGGUGAAUCUCAGCCUUGCCCAUCUCUUUUAAUGCCUUGUUUGAAAUAACUUCACCUGAACCUAAACCUAAAAUAAAAGUUAAAAACU